rnacentral:rRNA from 1 species
GUGCCUACGGGGCGCAGUAGUAGGGAAUAUUGCUCAAUGGGGGAAACCCUGAAGCAGCAACGCCGCAUGGAGGAUGAAGGUUUUCGGAUUGUAAACUCCUUUUGUUAGAGAAGAUAAUGACGGUAUCUAACGAGUAAGCACCGGCUAACUCCGUGCCAGCAGCCGCGGUAAUACGGAGGGUGCCAGCGUUACUCGGAAUCACUGGGCGUAAAGAGCGCGUAGGCGGGAUAGCAAGUCAGAUGUGAAAUCCUAUGGCUUAACCAUAGAACUGCAUUUGAAACCGUUAUUCUAGCGU